rnacentral:rRNA from 1 species
AUCCCUUGACAUCCAGUGAAUUAUCUAGAGAUAGAUGAGUGCCUUCGGGAACACUGAGAC